rnacentral:tRNA from 2 species
CAAAAUGUAGCUCCGUGGUAGAGUGCUUGCCUAGCAUGCAUGAGGCCCUGGGAUCAAUCCCCAGCAUCAUCA